AGCAUGUGGUUUAAUUCGAAGCAACGCGCAGAACCUUACCAGCUCUUGACAUUCGGGGUAUGGGCAGUGGAGACAUUGUCCUUCAGUUCGGCUGGCCCUAGAACAGGUGCUGCAUGGCUGUCGUCAGCUCGUGUCGUGAGAUGUUGGGUUAAGUCCCGCAACGAGCGCAACCCUCGCCCUUAGUUGCCAGCAUUUAGUUGGGCACUCUAAGGGGACUGCCGGUGAUAAGCCGAGAGGAAGGUGGGGAUGACGUCAAGUCCUCAUGGCCCUUACGGGCUGGGCUACACACGUGCUACAAUGGUGGUGACAGUGGGCAGCGACCUGGUGACAGGUAGCGAAUCUCCAAAGCCGGUCUCAGUUCGGAUCGGAGUCUGCAACCCGACUUCGUGAAGCUGGAUUCGCUAGUAAUCGCGCAUCAGCCAUGGCGCGGUGAAUACGUUCCCGGGCCUU
rnacentral:rRNA from 1 species